AAUGAACGCUAGCGGCAGGCUUAAUACAUGCAAGUCGAGGGACAGCACAGGUAGCAAUACUGGGUGGUAACCGGCAAACGGGUGCGGAACACGUACACAACCUUCCUUUAAGUGGGGGAUAGCCCAGAGAAAUUUGGAUUAAUACCCCGUAAUAUAGUUGAAUGGCAUCAUUUGAUUAUUAUAGCUACGGCGCUUAAUGAUGGGUGUGCGGCUGAUUAGAUAGUUGGCGGGGUAACGGCCCACCAAGUCUACGAUCAGUAGCUGAUGUGAGAGCAUGAUCAGCCACGCGGGCACUGAGACACGGGCCCGACUCCUACGGGAGGCAGCAGUAAGGAAUAUUGGUCAAUGGACGCAAGUCUGAACCAGCCAUGCCGCGUGAAGGAUUAAGGUCCUCUGGAUUGUAAACUUCUUUUAUUUGGGACGAAAAAGGGCCUUUCGAGGUCAACUGACGGUACCAGAUGAAUAAGCACCGGCUAACUCCGUGCCAGCCGCCGCCGUAACAC
rnacentral:rRNA from 1 species